rnacentral:rRNA from 1 species
GGCUAAAGUGGUGCCAGCAGCGGCUGGAAUACGGAGGGAGCGAGCGUUGUUCGGAAUCACGUGGCGUAAAGCGUGCGUAGGUGGAUUGGUAAGUAAGGAGUGAAAUCCCAGGGCUUAACCCUGGAACUGCUCUUUAGACUGCCUGUCUGGAAUUCGGAAGAGGUUGGUGGAACUCCCAGUGUAGAGGUGAAAUUCGCAGAUAUUGGGAAGAACACCGGUGGCGAAGGCGACCAACUGGUCCGACAUUGACACUGAGGCACGAAAGCGUGGGUAGCAAACAGGAUUAGAUACCCCGGUAGC